rnacentral:rRNA from 1 species
GAUGGCGACCGGCGCACGGGUGAGUAACGCGUAUCCAACCUUCCCUAUAGUAGAGGAUAGCCCGGCGAAAGUCGGAUUAAUACUCUAUGUUGUUCAAUCGCGGACAUCUAAGUUGAACCAAAGGUUUACCGCUAUAGGAUGGGGAUGCGUCUGAUUAGAUGGUAGGCGGGGUAACGGCCCACCUAGUCGACGAUCAGUAGGGGGUUCUGAGAGGAAGGUCCCCCACAUUGGAACUGAGACACGGUCCAGACUCCUACGGGAGGCAGCAGUGAGGAAUAUUGGUCAAUGGGCGCGAGCCUGAACCAGCCAAAGUAGCGUGCAGGAUGACGGCCCUAUGGGUUGUAAACUGCUUUUAUACGGGGAUAAAGUGAGGGGACGUGUCCCUUUUUGUAGGUACCGUAUGAAUAAGGACCGGCUAAUUCCGUGCCAGCAGCGGC